rnacentral:rRNA from 1 species
CAAGUCGAACGGGACUUUAUUUGUAGCAAUACCGAUAAAGUUCAGUGGCGUAAGGGUGCGUAACACGUGGGCAAUCUGCCCUGAAGCGCGGGAUAGCUUGGCGAAAGCCAAAUUAAUACCGCAUGUGGCUAUUGGAGGAGUCUCCGGGAUGCUAAAGACGGCGCAAGCUGUCACUUCAGGAUGAGCCCGCGGCCUAUCAGCUAGUUGGUGAGGUAACGGCUCACCAAGGCUAUGACGGGUAGCUGGUCUGAGAGGACGACCAGCCACACUGGAACUGAGACACGGUCCAGACACCUACGGGUGGCAGCAGUCGAGAAUUUUUCUCAAUGGGGGAAACCCUGAAGGAGCGACGCCGCGUGGAGGAUGAAGGUUUUCGGAUUGUAAACUCCUGUCAUUUGGGAACAAACCUUUCAUUUAACUGAUGGAAGACUGAUAGUACCAGAAGAGGAAGAGACGGCUAACUCUGUGCCAGCAGCCGCGGUAAUACAGAGGUCUCAACCGUUGUUCGGAUUCAUUGGGCGUAAAGGGUGCGUAGGCGGUCGCGCAAGUCGGAUGUGAAAUCUCAGGGCUCAACCCUGAAACUGCAUUCGAUACUGCGUGGCUAGAGUGCUGGAGAGGAGACUGGAAUUUACGGUGUAGCAGUGAAAUGCGUAGAUAUCGUAAGGAAGACCAGUGGCGAAGGCGAGUCUCUGGACAGCAACUGACGCUGAGGCACGAAGGCCAGGGGAGCAAACGGGAUUAGAUACCCCGGUAGUCCUGGCAGUAAACGGUGCACGUUUGGUGUAGGCGGAUUCGACCCCGCCUGUGCCGGAGCUAACGCGUUAAACGUGCCGCCUGGGAAGUACGGUCGCAAGAUUAAAACUCAAAGAAAUUGACGGGGGCCCGCACAAGCGGUGGA